UAAAUAAAUUGUAGUUUGCAGGCAGCGCUGCUUGUCAAGCUGACCUCAUAAAUGCGGUUAGCCAGAUGAUUAAUAUGCAUGUAUGUGAGCCGGCCUAUUCCGAGGAAUUCUCCUUCCCUUGAGGCAUUUUUCCGGCAGGCACUUUAGAAGGUCUUGUUAUUGAAUCGGAGCCACAAAAUGAGCUUUUUUUUUCCGUGUUCAGAAUACACAAGAGCAGAUUCUAGGAAUACUGAAAAAGUACUCAACAAUGAACUCGCUUGUGCUGAUCUGAGGAGUGUGUGACUUCCCUCGAAGCAAAAGUGACGCAAAGAUUUCUGUGUGGAAGGGGCUGCACAGUUGAACUUACCGAUGACGACGAACUGAGAGUCAGGUGUGAACGAGGCUUCUAGAGUGACCCCUUUGUUGUUGUUGUAUCCCUGCAGGUAG